ACACCGGCGGCCCGAGUGGUGAUCGUGAUUAUUGGGUCUAAAGGGUCCGUAGCCGGUUUGGUCAGUCCUCCGGGAAAUCUGAUAGCUCAACUAUUAGGCUUUCGGGGGAUACUGCCAGACUUGGAACCGGGAGAGGUAAGAGGUACUACAGGGGUAGGAGUGAAAUCUUGUAAUCCCUGUGGGACCACCUGUGGCGAAGGCGUCUUACCAGAACGGGUUCGACGGUGAGGGACGAAAGCUGGGGGCACGAACCGGAUUAGAUACCCGGGUAGUCCCAGCCGUAAACGAUGCUCGCUAGGUGUCAGGCAUGGCGCGACCGUGUCUGGUGCCGCAGGGAAGCCGUGAAGCGAGCCACCUGGGAAGUACGGCCGCAAGGCUGAAACUUAAAGGAAUUGGCGGGG
rnacentral:rRNA from 1 species